GACGAACGCUGGCGGCGUGCCUAAUACAUGCAAGUAGAACGCACAGUUUAUACCGUAGCUUGCUACACCAUAGACUGUGAGUUGCGAACGGGUGAUUAACGCGUAGGUAACCUGCCUGGUAUCGGGUGAUAACUAUUGGAAACGAUAGCUAAUACCGCAUAAUAUUAAUUAUUGCAUGAUAAUUAAUGGAAAUGUGCAAUUUCACCACUACCAGAUGGACCUGCGUUGUAUUAGCUAGUAGGUGAGGUAACGGCUCACCUAGUCGAAGAUUCAUAGCCGAACUGAGAAGGUGGACGGCCACACCGGGAACGAGACACGGGCCAGAAUCCUACGGGAGGCAGCAGUAGGGAAUCUUCGGCAAUGGACGAAAGUCUGAACGAGGAACGCCGCGUGAGUGAAGAAGGUUUUCGGAUCGGAAAGCUCUGUUGUAAGAGAAGAACGGGUGUGGGAGUGGAAAGUUCACACUGUGACGGUACCUUACCAGAAAGGGACGGCUAACUACGUG
rnacentral:rRNA from 1 species